GUAAAUGAUGUUGUACAUCAUGCAGGUAGCUCAGAAGAAGAAGUAAGUUUUUUUUUAAUUACAAAAGUAAAUGUAUAAUAUAAUAUUUGUUGCUGCCUUGUUCUAUAUAAAUGUUUCUAACAUGCAGGUAACAUUUAUAUAUGUAUUAGUUUGAAUAAAUCAUUUUAAUAAAGUUACAUUAUAGGCAGGAAUGUUUGACUGGAAAUAUAAACGAUGUUGUACAUAAUGCAGAUAGCUUAGGCAAAAAAGAGAUUGGUGAAAGGGAGAAUGAGACUAACUAGGGUGAAAAAAAAUGAAUAUUAAUAUGUGAAUGGUACUUUGUUUAACAUCUACCUAUUUCUACAGAUACACUUCAGACGCAUUUAUAAAUGGGCUUGAUGUUUUUUUAAUUAGAUAUGUUGUAUUGAUGGUUCUUUUUAACUUGAAGUUAUUAUCAAAUUUA
rnacentral:lncRNA from 1 species